GUUGGGUAGGGGAGCGUUCUGUAAGCCUGCGAAGGUGGCCUGUGAGGGUUGCUGGAGGUAUCAGAAGUGCGAAUGCUGACAUAAGUAACGAUAAAGCGGGUGAAAAGCCCGCUCGCCGGAAGACCAAGGGUUCCUGUCCAACGUUAAUCGGGGCAGGGUGAGUCGACCCCUAAGGCGAGGCCGAAAGGCGUAGUCGAUGGGAAACGGGUUAAUAUUCCCGUACUUGGUGUUACUGCGAAGGGGGGACGGAGAAGGCUAUGUUGGCCGGGCGACGGUUGUCCCGGUUUAAGCGUGUAGGCUGGUUUUCCAGGCAAAUCCGGUUCACUUUAAAACUGAGGCGUGACGACGAGGCACUACGGUGCUGAAGCAACAAAUGCCCUGCUUCCAGGAAAAGCCUCUAAGCAUCAGGUAACAUCAAAUCGUACCCCAAACCGACACAGGUGGUCAGGUAGAGAAUACCAAGGCGCUUGAGAGAACUCGGGUGAAGGAACUAGGCAAAAUGGUGCCGUAACUUCGGGAGAAGGCACGCUGACACGUAGGUGAAGUGAUUUACUCACGGAGCUGAAGUCAGUCGAAGAUACCAGCUGGCUGCAACUGUUUAUUAAAAACACAGCACUGUGCAAACACGAAAGUGGACGUAUACGGUGUGACGCCUGCCCGGUGCCGGAAGGUUAAUUGAUGGGGUCAGCGCAAGCGAAGCUCCUGAUCGAAGCCCCGGUAAACGGCGGCCGUAACUAUAACGGUCCUAAGGUAGCGAAAUUCCUUGUCGGGUAAGUUCCGACCUGCACGAAUGGCGUAAUGAUGGCCAGGCUGUCUCCACCCGAGACUCAGUGAAAUUGAACUCGCUGUGAAGAUGCAGUGUACCCGCGGCAAGACGGAAAGACCCCGUGAACCUUUACUAUAGCUUGACACUGAACAUUGAGCCUUGAUGUGUAGGAUAGGUGGGAGGCUUUGAAGCGUGGACGCCAGUCUGCGUGGAGCCGACCUUGAAAUACCACCCUUUAAUGUUUGAUGUUCUAACGUGGACCCGUAAUCCGGGUUGCGGACAGUGUCUGGUGGGUAGUUUGACUGGGGCGGUCUCCUCCUAAAGAGUAACGGAGGAGCACGAAGGUUGGCUAAUCCUGGUCGGACAUCAGGAGGUUAGUGCAAUGGCAUAAGCCAGCUUGACUGCGAGCGUGACGGCGCGAGCAGGUGCGAAAGCAGGUCAUAGUGAUCCGGUGGUUCUGAAUGGAAGGGCCAUCGCUCAACGGAUAAAAGGUACUCCGGGGAUAACAGGCUGAUACCGCCCAAGAGUUCAUAUCGACGGCGGUGUUUGGCACCUCGAUGUCGGCUCAUCACAUCCUGGGGCUGAAGUAGGUCCCAAGGGUAUGGCUGUUCGCCAUUUAAAGUGGUACGCGAGCUGGGUUUAGAACGUCGUGAGACAGUUCGGUCCCUAUCUGCCGUGGGCGCUGGAGAACUGAGGGGGGCUGCUCCUAGUACGAGAGGACCGGAGUGGACGCAUCACUGGUGUUCGGGUUGUCAUGCCAAUGGCACUGCCCGGUAGCUAAAUGCGGAAGAGAUAAGUGCUGAAAGCAUCUAAGCACGAAACUUGCCCCGAGAUGAGUUCUCCCUGAGACUUAGAGUCUCCUGAAGGAACGUUGAAGACGACGACGUUGAUAGGCCGGGUGUGUAAGCGCAGCGAUGCGUUGAGCUAACCGGUACUAAUGAACCGUGAGGCUUAACCUUACAACGCCGAAG
rnacentral:rRNA from 1 species